CGAAAGAAGUUCACUAUUCAUAGUACGUCGCGUGGGAUUCUUCCACGCUGGGUCUGGCUGCAUCUCGGUACGCACGCAGGUAUUUUAUUUUACUUAUUACGGUACAGUUAUUUCCACGUGCCUUGAAUUAGUACCGUGUGUUCAAUCAAGAAAUAUAAUCGUGGAGUCAUUAUGAAUGCACCUGCUUUAACCGUCAUGCGAGAGCGAUGUUUUUUUUGUUCAUGGCGACCCAGGAAAAAGGCAUCGUCGCGCGGGCGAAGUGACUGCGAGCAAUGCGCACGGCCAAGCCACAGCAGUGGACAGAGGGGGGUGGCUUCCAUCACCCAUCAGCACGCCAGCAUCGCUAAUGUUGCAAAAACAAGGACUCCGCGCGCAAUGUCACAAAUGUUAAUUCUCUGUGGUUAGAGAAGCUGCCAAUGCCAUCACCCCCUUCACAUUCCAUCCGACAUUGUUUAAGCACCUCAUUUAUAACCGUUCACAAUAUGUUUGGAUUUCAAUUAGCAGUCGUGUGUUUAUCAUAACUGAAAAUUUCCAUUCAAUUUAUUUUGGCCCAAAUGUGUUUUUGUGUUUGUUUUACGCAAAAUGAAAGGAGGCGCCGUCCGAAGGGUUCGUUUUGGGGUCCGGGUCCCAGAUGUGACGAGGCAUACGCCAAUCCGCCGCCGUUUCAGUAAAGCAAUGCAAGCUAACAAAUUGGCAAAACAACUGCCACUUUGGUCAACGUGGGCCCUGUGCAUCACUCUCGGGCUCCCCCAGAGCGGGGUGGGGGGGGGACUGCCUUCCCUUGCGCCGAGGUCUUGGGCGAAUGUCGACACCGCCCUUGCAAACAUCCCCCUUCACUCGCGCGAGCAAAGGCCGACGAGACCAGCCCAUAACUCACAAGCGCACAGACGACAACACCCCUCGCUGGAUGUAGCGUCACAUUAGCCUCGAUACAUAUUUGCCGUGGUGUCACAACCUGCAGCAGCAGGAGCAAGGGCUGAACGCCCACGCCCCUCCCUCCGUUCCCCAACCACCCCACCCCCUGAGUGCAUUAGCACACAUUAGCCUUGUUUACACGCAGCGGCAGCAGCAGCACGUGUAGAUAGGGGCGGCUGGAGCGCCAGAGGCUACGAGCUCCGAGAGUGAUUGCGAGAGCGGCGCAAAUCAGCAGCAAUCAGGGGCCGCUUCGCCCGGUAAACGCCAUCCCCGCCCCCAGCAGCAGCAGCGCCCAGCAGCAGCAGCAGCGCCCAGCGUGGGGCCAUCUCCUAACCCGACUGCUGUCUCAUGCCCCAUCCCCCCACCCCACCAUGCAGCAUCCCCGGCAGCAGCAGGAGCAGCAGCAUGCUGCUGAUGAUUACCAUCAGGAUUACCAUCAUCAGCAGCGUGUCUAUCAUACACGGCAAUCGGUCACAAGGCAGAGGGAGAUUCCUCAGUUGGGACUACAAAGCAGAAGCAAGAGCAGCAAGAUGGCUGGGUACUGCGACAUCUUGGCAGUGCGGCUUUCCCUUGGCAAACACGCGCAGAGACCCCCCCCCAAGACAGAGCCCGCAGGCAUCGGUCAGCAGGCAUCGUCGCCCCGAGGUGGCUCUCUGGUGCAGUGCUCGGCUGUACGAGUCUCAAACUCUGAUCAGCGGUAGACUCUGCCCAUCAUUCCCCCAGGACGGUCACUGCCUCACUCCUCUUCGCUCUCUGUGGAGCCACAAGGCCGCGCGACAAGCCCACGCCAUGCCGGGCGGUCCUCAGCUGAUUUCUCUGCUUUGCCCCAAGACAGCCCCAUGGUCUUUGGUUGGUCUUGAGGGCGAUUAAGUUGAGUGCCACUUUGUGGGAAGUCCACAGUGAGUUGUAUCGUGAGAAGUUUGCCUGCCGCCGCAGGAAUGUGGAAUUUCCACCACUGGCUUCGGGCUGCCAAUGCUUGUGUGAGCCUGGAGACAGGUUCUCACCUGCACUCUCUCUCUCUCUCUGUGUUUCUGUCGUUGCGGCUGCACUGAUGAUUUGUGUUCAGUGGCGAAUGCGCUCCCUGCUUCACAGCUCUUGCGUGUCUUCUUGUGUUGAUGCCACCUCUGUCGAGUGAGAGGGACUCGGCUUGAUGAGCUCUCACCUGCUCACCAGUAAACGUUACCGGCUCAAGAGUGAACAUUCGUGGUUCGUUUCUUGUCCUUCCCACGUUCCUCCGAUUAGCACGGUUGGCUUCGUACCUUGCGAAAUAGAUUCAACAUACAUGCAUACGAAAAUGCACUUUUUUGUAUGGAUUCAAUGGUAGGCAUCAUAUAUCCCUGUACAUCUCAUGUCAGGUCAACUGUGUACUCACAGAACCUAGAUUGCCAAGGCUGGCAGUACAACGGGGAGAGAGACAUGCAAACUACAAACAUGCAGGCGUCAGGAUCGGGAUCGAACUCACGACCUCCUGCGUACCAGGCGAGGGGGUCAACAAUUCACAACCGCAGCUAAGCAGACGAGCAUCGGGCUAGCCUGGGUCGGAGGGUCUCUGGUUCGGGGUCACAAGCACGUGCUCAGCUGCCGUGUACCCCCCAAAACAUUAACGCGUCUACGUCUUCUCCCCCCCCCCCUUAGUUUCUUCGCAAUCAUUAACUCGACAAUGAGCUCCCAUGCUGCAAUGACUCCGCUAAUGAAAGGGCACACCAACAAGGGCAGCCUGCAGGUUGCAGGCGUGCGCGUCCGUGCUGUUAUUAAGCGCGCGGGUCGCCUCGCCGUGACGCGGCUAAUGAAGGAGUCUCUCCGUGGCAGGACACUGGGAGACAGCGGCCAUCCUCAGCGGGAGGCUGUCACGCAUUGACAAAGCCCAGAUGUGUGGGAAGAGGAGGCGGAGGCUACGGGGGGUGGGCUGUACCCCCCACCGGGAGCUCUCGAGAGCAGCGCGCUUGCAGUAAUUAAUGAGGUGCAAGUGCCAAGGGAGGGCGGAAUUCCCCGAGGCCGGUGCCCGCGUGCACCAAGCGGCUCGGAGCGGGCGAGCAUCUUCUCGUGUACAAGGCGUGCGGUGAACACGCGCUGGACCUGUCGCACUGCAAGUGACCUUUGUGCACUCAGGAUCAACCUAACUUGACAGCAUUGCCCUCCAGGCUAUCCAGUUACUCUGAGCGUUGAUGGCUAUUUGGUAUGGCCAUGGAGAAAUCCAAUACAAUCAGAUGGAGCCGGGGCGGGUUCUCCGUGCGUGAUGCUCGUGGGUAGAUGUCACGCGUGAGACGUUUUGGGGUAAAAGGGCCGCUUGAGCGACUGCGAUGUUCCCUUGGUGCUCACGGAGUUUUAAAUCGCCUGGCUGGGCAUGAAUGAGAUUCGAAGGUUUUGUGUUUAGUUUAAAUUUCUUAUUUUUAAUAGUAUAUACUGUAUGUUGAAUGAGAUUUGAAGGUUUUGUGUUUCGUUAAGAUUUCUUAUUUUUAAUAGUAUAUACUGUAUGUUGUUUGUCUCUUAAUUGUGAUUCUUAAAUAUAUGAUUGCCAUUUGUAAUGUCCGGUGAGUAACACUUAGUCUGUGCUAACCAGUUGUCCUGGGUGAAAAGUGGGCACGGUUUUGCCCAAUCCUCGCCGGCAGGCACGAAACGGUAAUAAAUUACUGAAUGAGUGAUUCGUGUUGACACAGUUCAUUUAUUUUGACUGGUGAAAGCCCAUUGAGGUCUUCUGGUGCUUAGCUGGCUCUGUGUUCGCUGGGUGCCUCACCUGGCUGGUGGUGCACUGGUCGAGUGCACGCGUCACACAUGGACGGUCGCGAGUCAUAAUUCUGGUCGGCAGUCCACGCAGUCCUUUACAUCCCACUUUGGAGUUCGGAAAAUAAGAACCACUUUGUAGCAAGCAAACAGUGAUCGUCCCAUAGAUUAUCUCACCCCAGCCAUAGCAAUGUGGAAUUGCCACCACUGGCUCAGAGCUGGAACAAAAGAAAAACACGGCACUGUGCUCGAUUGAGCGAGAAAGCGAUUAGACUUUGUCUUUACGCUUUAUUUGAAAGGAGUAAAACAUUGGCACACAAUGGCUCACCCUUGCUAAUGAGGAUGUAACAGUCGAGCGUUCUCACCACUGCAGAUGACGCAACUAUCGUGGCUGUGGCAAUCUCACUGCCGACUCCACGCUCACCAGCAAAGGAGCAGUUGCGCUACAGGCGCAUUGCGCAGUAUGUGACAAGACGGCCACGUAUUCAACUCUCUUGAGUUUAAUGGUCAAUGCAACGAUUACGGGCCACGCAUUCAGCUCUUUGGAGUUUGUGGUCUGGACAAGGCCGAGAGCAUUGUACGUGCAGUGUGGUGGUCACGUGACACGCAUGUAAGGCACGAUGGGAGCCGUGGCCUCCUGCUGCCAGUGAACAGCACACGUUAGCGUGUCUCUGCGGUAUGUCACGUCGUGUUGUGAGUGCUUUGUCACCAGCGUAAUGUGCCUCGAUGAAUCCAUGCUGAGGUGUCGGUCAGGCAUGCCGGGCGUGCAUUUAUAAGACUUAGAAACAAUGGGGCACCUCACUACUAUUUUGUGGACGUUGCAAUGGCCCACUAAACCACCCAGCUACCUCAGUUACAACAUUCCUAGAAUAGCCACACGCAACGCCAUUGUAGAAGCGUGCUCCGUGGCGAUUUACGGUGGGAAAGCAGUGCCAUCGGCAGGGAAGUCUACGAGGAAACGUGUUGAAAACUAUCAGCACUGUGCCUUCGAGCAGCUUACAUCGGGGGCGGAAAGGGGCGAUUGCCUCGGAGGCUUUGUGCUUGGCAGGAAAUGAAUGCGUAAGGAAAUUAAUUAGUAAGGAAAUUAAUUAGUAAGGCUGAGCUACCGCGGAUCCAGACUGGGGCAUUAGCCGCAUGCACAGUGAGCUUUGGAGUCGGUAUCAGUCGUAGCAGCUACAACUAUUCUUAAACAUUUUUUUUAUUUAACCGGGUAAGGCCCACUUAGCAAUGUAGCUCUUUUU